rnacentral:rRNA from 1 species
GACGAACGCUGGCGGCGUGCUUAACACAUGCAAGUCGAACGGAAAGGCCUCUUUCGGGGGGUACUCGAGUGGCGAACGGGUGAGUAACACGUGAGUAACCUGCCCUUGACUUUGGGAUAACUUCAGGAAACUGGGGCUAAUACCGGAUAGGAGCUCCUGCUGCAUGGUGGGGGUUGGAAAGUUUCGGCGGUCGGGGAUGGACUCGCGGCUUAUCAGCUUGUUGGUGGGGUAGUGGCUUACCAAGGCUUUGACGGGUAGCCGGCCUGAGAGGGUGACCGGCCACAUUGGGACUGAGAUACGGCCCAGACUCCUACGGGAGGCAGCAGUGGGGAAUAUUGCACAAUGGGUGGAAGCCUGAUGCAGCAACGCCGUGUGCGGGAUGACGGCCUUCGGGUUGGAAACCGCUUUCGCUCAUGACGAAGCUUUGUGUGACGGUAGUGGGUAAAGAAGCACCGGCUAACUACGUG